rnacentral:rRNA from 2 species
GACGAACGCUGGCGGCGUGCCUAAUACAUGCAAGUCGAGCGGACAGAUGGGAGCUUGCUCCCUGAUGUYAGCGGCGGACGGGAGAGUAACACGUGGGUAACCUGCCUGUAAGACUGGGAUAACUCCGGGAAACCGGGGCUAAYACCGGAUGCUUGAUUGAACCGCAUGGUUCAAUUAUAAAAGGUGGCUUUUAGCUACCACUUACAGAUGGACCCGCGGCGCAUUAGCUAGUUGGUGAGGUAACGGCUCACCAAGGCAACGAUGCGUAGCCGACCUGAGAGGGUGAUCGGCCACACUGGGACUGAGACACGGCCCAGACUCCUACGGGAGGCAGCAGUAGGGAAUCUUCCGCAAUGGACGAAAGUCUGACGGAGCAACGCCGCGUGAGUGAUGAAGGUUUUCGGAUCGUAAAACUCUGUUGUUAGGGAAGAACAAGUACCGUUCGAAUAGGGCGGUACCUUGACGGUACCUAACCAGAAAGCCACGGCUAACUACNUGC